UGGNUUGUAACUGCUUUUGUCGGGAAGAAACCCUCCUACGUGUAGGAGCUUGACGGUACCGUAAGAAUAAGGAUCGGCUAACUCCGUGCCAGCAGCCGCGGUAAUACGGAGGAUCCAAGCGUUAUCCGGAAUCAUUGGGUUUAAAGGGUCCGUAGGCGGUUUAGUAAGUCGGCGGUGAAAGCCCAUCGCUCAACGGUGGAACGGCCAUUGAUACUGCUGAACUUGAAUUACUGGGAAGUAACUAGAAUAUGUAGUGUAGCGGUGAAAUGCUUAGAGAUUACAUGGAAUACCAAUUGCGAAGGCAGGUUACUACCAGUGGAUUGACGCUGAUGGACGAAAGCGUGGGUAGCGAACAGGAUUAGAUACCCUGGUAGUCCAAGGGCGAAU
rnacentral:rRNA from 1 species